rnacentral:lncRNA from 1 species
CCGCAGUGAAAGCAGGUACCCUGUCUUGAGACUUUCUUCCCCUUCUUCUUCAUUUUGUCAUCCUUAGAAUUCAGUGCUUUCUUUGAACCCUUAAAAUCUGAUUUCUUCUUAAAAAUUUUAUCUACAAGAAGAAGUGGAGCCUUUUCUUUCUUAAUAUGGCUCUCAGUUGUCUUAAGUAUAUUCAACAGCUCUGGCAAGGAGGUAUUCAGUUUGUUCAUGUGAUAGUUCAUGACAAAUUGAGCGAAUGAUUCGGAGAGAGAUUGCAUGAUCAAAUUCUGACUUAAUUCUUCAUCCAUC